rnacentral:rRNA from 1 species
CCUACGGGUGGCAGCAGUGAGGCAUAUUGGUCAAUGGACGAGCGUCUGAACCAGCCACGCAGCGUGAAUGAUGACUGUCCUCUGGUUUGUAAACUUCUUUUAUAUGGGAGUAAAAUGUUCUACGUGUGGGAUUUUGUAUUUCCCAUAUGUAUUAGGAUCGGCUAACGACGUUCCAGCAGACGCGGUAAUACGGUGGAUCCGAGCGAUAUCCGGAUGUAUUGGGUUGAAAGGGAGCGUAGGUGGAUUGUUAAGUCAGUUGUGAAAGUUUACGGCUCAACCGUAGAAUUGGAGUUGAAACUGGCAGUCUUGAGUACAGUAGAGGUAAGCGGAAGUCGUGGUGUAGCGGUGAAAUGCUCAGAUA